GUUUGGUAGCCAAUUGCUAAAAUGCAUUUUUAUCUUACGCAAGGCAGUAUACCAUAUUUUAUACCGUGGCUCUGAUCCGAAAUCAGGGCAUUUUUGUUCGAACAAAUACCUAUAAUAACGAUGAAGAAGUGCGUGAUCCGCGGAGCAAACGACCUACGUCGGGUCGGGACUGAUAUGCGUGUGACUGUGCACAAGUUCCCACUAAAAAAAGAAGUACAGAGAAAAGUGGAUGAGGGUGUGUGGCAUGACCAAUGAGCCAAGACCACAUGACCACUUAAACUUAACAAGAAGUGCGCACCAUGAUAAGCACAGUCAAAAACGUUUGCGUCUAAAGAACAGUGCUGUGCCGGAUCAGAAUAUUCCGUAUACGCCUUGGGUUGCUGUCGCUGCUCGGUCACCCACAGAUGAAAGUGAUCAAGAAAUGGACAUCACUCAGGUGUGGGAUCACUCGUGGAAGUUCACGGCGGAUACGGAGCCGUGCAUGCAGCUCUGGUUCGAUCCUGCUCAGGGAAGCCCCAAUGACGCCGUGGCGCGCAUCUGGGCUGAGCGGGUGGUGGCGGCCGGUGCGCGGGCGCUGCCGCGUGGCUGGUGGCCGCGGCCCUGGCGGCAGCGGCCCGCUCCUGACCCGGUCGCCCUGUGCCGAGCACAGAGCGCCGACUGAGGUCAGUCUUGUGAUCGAGCUUCCGCGCCGGAGGUGGAACAGGUGGAGCUGGCGGUCACCUGCGCGGGCUCGGCGGCCUGUAAGCCGUGCCGAGACGAACCGCGACACUCUUGCUAGAUCUGCACCCCAUUGUAAUCUUCUGUAGUCGAUAUUCGGUAGGUACUCAAUGCUCAUUUUUCUGAUAUUAGACGAGU
rnacentral:lncRNA from 1 species